AGAGGGAGUAGAAACAGAGAGAAACGUCUUUUCUUGAAGAAACGUCUUUUCUUGAAGAAACGUUCACCGAACUUUGAGACGACUACAGCCGACAAUUCUACCUGCCGUAUGAGGAUUCACGCCUGACUGCAUCAUCUGAGCCGCCCUAUAGGAUCCAUGCUUGACGGUACUCUUUGCGCCAUGCUGCAGAUCUCUUGAGGGGUAGAGUUCACGUGCUUGUCACGCGGGAUAUAGUUGUGGACACACGAGCCUCGUACGGUGUAAAGAUGGAGAGUAGCAAGGGCCGCACGAUUCGCACGUGGGAUGUUGACUUGUCAAUUAGUUGAAGGAUCAUGUACAUAAUUAAUGAUUAAAUACUUGCCAUUGAUAAUAUGCCACGUUGUAUAUUGACAAUGGGACCACCUAUAUCCAAAUAACAUGAUUAAUACAGAGCCCUUAAU